GCACAAUAAAGCAAAGGGCAAUAAAAUGAGGUAUGCCUGUCUAUGGCCAGGGACUGGAUACAGGACUGUCAUCUCCAUGAUAUGAAGCAUGGUGGAUAUAUAGGCUUGGUUAAAAACUUGUUUACUCCUAAAGCCAUGAAACAAAAACAGGAUGCUAAGGAAAAAGCAAACUAUCAGAGCAUAGGUAAGAAUUCUUGAAAAGAAAAUACCCGAUUGUAAAAAUGAGAGAAGGCCAUGGUAGAAUUAAAACAUAAAGUUGAAGAAAUUUCUCAGAAAAUAGAAU